rnacentral:lncRNA from 1 species
UGAUGGCAUUUUCGUAAAUUAUAUGAACUUGUGGGGUGAAUAGGGCUAAACCAAUUUUCAAAAAAAAGGAGGUUAGUUUUGUGUUUGACUUUAAGUUAUAGGUCAAUUCUGCAAAAAGCCCUAAUUUGUAUAUGUUCUGCUUGAUCUGUAUUUCUUUUUGAUCUGCAUAUUGUUAUCUGAAUCACUCAUUCGGAGCAUAUAUCCAUUUAUCAGAAUUUUAGGCUUCUAAUGUGGCGCAUAUAA